rnacentral:rRNA from 1 species
UACGGAGGGGGGUUAGCGUUGUUCGGAAUUACUGGGCGUAAAGCGCACGUAGGCGGAUCAGAAAAGUUGGGGGGGUGAAAAUCCCCGGGGGCUCAACCCCCGGAACUGCCUCCAAAAACUCCUGGUCUUGAGUUCGAGAGAGGUGAGUGGAAUUCCGAGUGUAGAGGUGAAAUUCGUAGAUAUUCGGAGGAACACCAGUGGCGAAGGCGGCUCACUGGCUCGAUACUGACGCUGAGGUGCGAAAGUGUGGGGGAGCAAACAGGAUUAGAUACCCCUGUAGUCC